rnacentral:lncRNA from 1 species
GAUGUUGGCGAUAGUUGAUCCACUGUAGGAGUAGGGUGCGCAUCAAGAUAGGAUCUAUCCACCUUGAUAGAGAGGAGUAGUCCUAUGACAUUUGAAAGGCUAAGUCCAAAAAUUUAUGGCCAUAGUAGUGUGAUUGAUAGAAAAGAGUUUUCAUAAGAGUUACAACUAGAAUUGAGCUAAUCGAAUCUAUCAUGACUAAUGUUGAGAUUUGAUGAUUUAUCCAUGACCUGCCAUCU